rnacentral:rRNA from 1 species
GUGGAUUAGAUACCCGGGUAGUCCACGCCGUAAACGAUGCUAACUCGUUUUUGGGGCCUUGGCUUCAGAGACUAAGCGAAAGUGAUAAGUUAGCCACCUGGGGAGUACGUUCGCAAGAAUGAAACUCAAAGGAAUUGACGGGGGCCCGCACAAGCGGUGGAGCAUGUGGUUUAAUUCGAUGAUACGCGAGGAACCUUACCAAGACUUAAAUGGGAAAUGACAGGUUUAGAAAUAGAUCCUUCUUCGGACAUUUUUCAAGGUGCUGCACGGUCGUCGACAGCU